UGGGGAAUAUUGGACAAUGGGCGAAAGCCUGAUCCAGCCAUGCCGCGUGCGUGAAGAAGGUCUUCGGAUUGUAAAGCACUUUAAGUUGGGAGGAAGGGCAGUAAGCGAAUACCUUGCUGUUUUGACGUUACCGACAGAAUAAGCACCGGCUAACUCUGUGCCAGCAGCCGCGGUAAUACAGAGGGUGCAAGCGUUAAUCGGAAUUACUGGGCGUAGAGCGCGCGUAGGUGGUUCGUUAAGUUGAAUGUGAAAGCCCCGGGCUCAACCUGGGAACUGCAUCCAAAACUGGCGGGCUAGAGUAGGGCAGAGGGUGGUGGAAUUUCCUGUGUAGCGGUGAAAUGCGUAGAUAUAGGAAGGAACACCAGUGGCGAAGGCGACCACCUGGGCUCAUACUGACGCUGAGGUGCGAAAGCGUGGGGAGCAAACAGG
rnacentral:rRNA from 1 species